rnacentral:snRNA from 1 species
AGAUGUGAGGGCGAUCUGGUUGCAACAUCUGUCACCCCAUUGAUCGCCAGGGUUGGUUCUGCUGAUCUGGCUGGCUGGGUGGGGGGGCAGGCCUUCUUCCCUCACCACUCCGUGUGCGUCCCUCCCGAAGCUGUACACUUGGUCAAAGAACACGAACUUCCCUGAUAGAGGAGGACCAUUCUUCAGUCAAGGGUAUACAAGUAGCUGCACUCCCCUGCUAGAACCUCCAAACAAGUUCUCAAGAUCUGUUUCUGCUUGGGCAAAAUACCAGGAAAAUGCAGAGCAGAAGUGUUGGAUUCUCCAUGGUGAAGCAUGGACGUCUUCUCAAGGAAGGUGACUGAGGU